AGCUUUGCACAGUGGCAGUAUUGUAGCCAAUGAGGUUUAUCCAAGACGUGAUUAUUGCUAACUGAAAACUUUUCCCAAUACCCCACCAUAACGACUUGAAAUAUAGUCCGCAAUGGAAUUUUUGACAGUCUCUAUGGAGA